CAUGCAAGUCGAGCGGUAGAGAGGUGCUUGCAUCUCUUGAGAGCGGCGGACGGGUGAGUAAUGCCUAGGAAUCUGCCUAGUGGUGGGGGAUAACGUUCGGAAACGACGCUAAUACCGCAUACGGUCCUACGGGAGAAAGCGGGGGAUCUUCGGACCUCGCGCCAUUAGAUGAGCCUAGGUCGGAUUAGCUAGUUGGUGAGGUAAUGGCUCACCAAGGCGACGAUCCGUAACUGGGUCUGAGAGGAUGAUCAGUCACACUGGAACUGAGACACGGUCCCAGACUCCUACGGGAGGCAGCAGUGGGGAAUAUUGGACAAUGGGCGAAAGCCUGAUCCAGCCAUGCCGCGUGUGUGAAGAAGGUCUUCGGAUUGUAAAGCACUUUAAGUUGGGAGGAAGGGUAGUAACCUAAUACGUUGCUGCUUUGACGUUACCGACAGAAUAAGCACCGGCUAACUUCGUG
rnacentral:rRNA from 1 species